rnacentral:rRNA from 1 species
GAUGAACGCUAGCGGCAGGCUUAAUACAUGCAAGUCGUGGGGCAGCAUGAGUGUAGCAAUACAUUUGAUGGCGACCGGCAAACGGGUGCGGAACACGUACACAACCUUCCUAUAAGUGGGGAAUAGCCCAGAGAAAUUUGGAUUAAUACCCCGUAACAUAAUGAUGUGGCAUCACAUUAUUAUUAUAGCUUCGGCGCUUAUUGAUGGGUGUGCGGCUGAUUAGAUAGUUGGCGGGGUAACGGCCCACCAAGUCUACGAUCAGUAGCUGAUGUGAGAGCAUGAUCAGCCACACGGGCACUGAGACACGGGCCCGACUCCUACGGGAGGCAGCAGUAAGGAAUAUUGGUCAAUGGACGCAAGUCUGAACCAGCCAUGCCGCGUGAAGGAUUAAGGUCCUCUGGAUUGUAAACUUCUUUUAUCUGGGGCGAAAAAAGGCGAUUCUUCGUCACUUGACGGUACCAGAUGAAUAAGCACCGGCUAACUCCGUGCCAGCAGCCGCCGUAACAC